rnacentral:rRNA from 1 species
GACGAACGCUGGCGGCGUGCCUAAUACAUGCAAGUCGAACGGACCUUGCCUGGACUGAGUGGAGUACUUGUACAAAGCGAAGACUGAGCGCUGGUUAGUGGCGAACGGGUGAGUAACACGUAGGUAACCUACCGAUAAGACGAGGACAACUCAUGGAAACGUGAGCUAAUACUGGAUGUGGUAUAUGGAAGGCAUCUUCUAUAUAUUAAAGGAGCUUUUGGCUUCACUUAUUGAUGGACCUGCGGCGUAUUAGCUAGUUGGUAGGAUAGCAGCCUACCAAGGCAAUGAUACGUAGCCGAUCUGAGAGGAUAAACGGCCACACUGGGACUGAGAUACGGCCCAGACUCCUACGGGAGGCAGCAGUAGGGAAUUUUCCACAAUGGACGAAAGUCUGAUGGAGCAACGCCGCGUGUGUGAAGAAGGUUUUCGGAUUGUAAAGCACUGUUGUAUGGGAAGAAUAAGGUGAGAAGGAAAUGGCUCAUCGANNACGGU